GUGGGGGAUAUUGGACAAUGGGCGAAAGCCUGAUCCAGCCAUGCCGCGUGUGUAAGAAGGUCUUCCGAUUGUAAAGCACUUUAAGUUGGGAGGAAGGGCAGUAAGUUAAUACCUUUCUGUUUUGACGUUACCGACAGAAUAAGCACCGGCUAACUUCGUUCCAGCAGCCGCGGUAAUAAGAAGGGGGCAAGCGUUAAUCGGAAUUACUGGGCGUAAAGCGCGCGUAGGUGGUUUUGUAAGUUGGAGGUGAAAUCCCCGGGCUCAACCUGGGAACUGCCUCCAAAACUGCAUGACUAGAGUACGGUAGAGGGUAGUGGAAUUUCCUGUGUAGCGGUGAAAUGCGUAGAUAUAGGAAGGAACACCAGUGGCGAAGGCGACUACCUGGACUGAUACUGACACUGAGGUGCGAAAGCGUGGGGAGCAAACAGGAUUAGAAACCCUGGUAGUCC
rnacentral:rRNA from 1 species